AGCUUUGCCAAACAUAUUUAAUAAUAAUCGUGACUGUAGAUGUUGACGUCCCAAUCUGGACACAUGCAGGACACGUAACAGCAGUGGACAGGACAUGAUACCCUGAGCUGAUGACCCUCCACACACCCUUUCCUUUUUAAGACUCCAAUUUACAUCAUACAGUCCUGAUGCUCAACAAUUAUUGUGACUAUUAUGAUUAAACCAUGUUUUUUCUUCACAGUGAACCCUGAGUCCUCAGGCGGCGAAAAGAGAGUUUCCACAGAUAAUAAUGCGGCUAUAGUCGGCGGAGUAGUUGGACCACUGAUAGCAUUGGCAGUAUUGGCAGGAGUAUUGGCAGGAGUACUCUACAAGAAAAAUCUAUUCCCUUUUCAAAAAGAUCACCAACAAGUUCCCACCAAUGAGCCUCAGGUCGAUGGGAAUGAGCCUCCACCUGAGGAGAUUGAACUAAAUAAUCUAUAGAGGAAAAUAACCAACGGCAGAUCAAUUGUUUGUGUUCGUGUGAUUUCUAAUUGUUAAAAGAGCCUAUAGUUUAAUAGAAUUUGGGGCAAGUGUUUAAAAUUUUGUGCCACAGUCAAAAUCAGGCGGUGGAACUCUCACUCUCUCACUCUCUCCUCACUUUGAAAUCUCACAGACUAUCACUUUAAUGCAGCUGACGAAAAACGGCCUUAUAUUCAAUGAGAACGAGAAGAAAGAGGAGUAGAAGAAAUGUGUGCCAAAAAGCAGCCAUCGACCCAGGCAGUGAAAUCUCCCGGUUCAUUUUAUUCUAAAGACAAAACAUGAGUUCAGAUGCCCUGACAGAACUUUAGCAGCCUGUAGUGUUGGCACAGAGUUCAGUCUUUUCUGUCUGCAUGAACAGACAACUGCACUGACGGUUGAUUCUGACCCGCCCCUCAGUAUUAAACUGUAGGCUCUUGUUGUGAAAGCUUGUUAAUACCAUAUACCACAUAUUGAGAACACUCCUCAGUAUGUGACAACAGUCCUGUGAAAUGUGCCUUAGAUUUGGAAGUGUUUGUCAAAGAGGUGCAGCUUCUGAAAUGCAGUUAAAAAAUAUUCAGGACAAUGUAAGUGGUUCUGAAGCUGUGGUUCAGGGAGUACUGUCUUUAUUGUCUCAGAGCAGUGGUUCUCAACUUGGUGAGUGGCCAACCUUAAUGCAGCCGGUCUGACUGGAUGUAUCGACUCAUUGUGAUUUAAUCUGGAUCUAUCAGGAUGGACUCACAGAACUCAAAGACCAGUUUGAGGAGGCGACAGCACUCACUCACUCUCUGUUUAUACACCUGGCAAUGUCAAACUAUAAGACACAAAACUAGGGUCACCAAACAUCCCAGUUUAGCCCUGUGUCCCAUGUUCCCCUAUCCAAUCCCAGACCACAGUUUUGUCCUGCUCCAAUUAGAAUUUUUUUUUUUAUAAAACCACAGAUUUCUUUCCUUAUGUUUUGCUAAGCAUGAAAACCCUCAGUAAAAAGCUCACGGUCCGACAUAUCAACAUGUGUAACCUGUGGCACGACUUGUUAUUGCAGCUAAACGGGGCCACACCAGUUGAGAACCAAUAUCUGAGAGUUUUUUUCUCAUUGUUUAGUACGUACUUUGCCUUUUGACCAGGGGGAAGGUGGUUCUAAAACACCACCUGGUACAUGGUGCUGGUACCAAGUCUUGUUGCACUGAGUAGAGAGUUGGAAAAAGGACUUUGACCAUAGACUUUAUUUACACUGCAAAAGGUACGGGUCAAGUUCAUCUGUAGGAAACUCUUAUUGUGUGAUGUUUGUACUGUAUUGAAAGGGAACACUACACUGUAACUACAUCUGAACGUGUGUCGCCAUAUGAGGUACAAGUUUCAACUUUAUGAUCCAGUCCUCGUUUGAAAGCUAAGAACUGAGCUUCAAGCAGGGUCAGGUGCUGGGACUGUGAAACAGUCACUUUUUAUCUUCAUUUCCAAACUAGUUUUAGCUGUGAAAUCUGGCUGCUCUUGAUCUGUGAAGUUUAUUCUAAUCAUCCUGAAAACAUUUCCAUUCAUGUAACUGUGAUUGAAUCCUGGGACGCGGGUCGGACAGAUUUAUGAAAUAUUUACAAAACAUCGUACAGUGCCUUAAGCUCAGGUUAAAAGUUGCAGAUAAAACACUGAUGCUGUUUUGUACCAAACCGUCCUGAGAGUGUUUGAUAUAUUUUAUAAUGUUUGUGUGUAUCUUUUAUACAACUGUGUGAAAGCAUCAGCUGUCUGUGACACUAUAAUGGAAUCUUGAUGUAAAGCUGUAUUUUAAAGUUUUCACUUGACAUUCUUGGGGGGCAAUGAGAGAAAAGGAGUAACACAGUCCAAAAGCAUCAGAGGUGCAGAUGUUGAGGAAAUUCUGAGAGAAAAGAAAACAGCUUAGAAGAACUUAUUCAAGAGGAUGUUUCAGCAUUGUCUUCUUCAGAUCAUUCCUUUUUAUUUUCCUCUUUUGAACCACAGUGCAUGUGGAGUGGACCAGCCCAAGUUCGACAACAAUCUGGACUUUGUUUUAACCUGUUAUCUGCCAGGUUAAGGUUAGGGUUUAUGUAUAUCCAAAUCUCAAAGAGUACUGACAGGAGAGUUUACAGCUUAUGUGCCAGUGUGACACCUCAUUUGAAAGCCAAGACCUUCUAGUUUCUAGAACUAAGAACAGUAUGAGUGAAACACAACUUACAUUACCUUUGCCGUUCCCUAACCCUAAUCAGAACCUUAACCCCUGACCCUAAACCUAACCCGAGCGCCCUGAUCACGGGGACGGCAAGUAUCAGAUAUCGUAUUCCCAUCAGUGAGUGUGUGGAAACAUAUCUGCUGCAGUUAUGUGGCUAUUGUUUACAGUGUUUUGCCGAGGUUACUGCCCUCCAAGUGAUGUCAACGAAAACUGACAAUACGAUAAUGUCUUUUUUUAUAUGCCUUUCUGAGAGAAAUAAUCUAAUAAUAAAUGUUUUUAUUCU
ensembl:lncRNA